rnacentral:rRNA from 1 species
CAGUAGCCACGGUAAUACAGAGGGUGCAAGCGUUAAUCGGAAUUACUGGGCGUAAAGCGCGCGUAGGUGGUUCGCCAAGUUGGAUGUGAAAUCCCCGGGCUCAACCUGGGAACUGCAUCCAAAACUGGCGAGCCAGAGUAUGGUAGAGGGUGGUGGAAUUUCCUGUGUAGCGGUGAAAUGCGUAGAUAUAGGAAGGAACAUCAGUGGCGAAGGCGACCACCUGGACUGAUACUGACACUGAGGUGCGAAAGCGUGGGGAGCAAACAGGAUUAGAUACCCCUGUAGUCCCUGUCUCUUAUAC